GUAAAGACAGCGAAGGGAAUAAGACGGCGGAACGCCCCUCAGAGAGCCUGCGGCAGGUGGGAGCAGGCGGGUGUCCGGCGGGAUAGCUCAUCCCUGAGUCUCCUGGCCCGAAGUCGAUUUAGGGCAGGACGUGUGGCGGCGUUAUCCGCCGGGCCUGUAAAGGCUGAAAGGGUGGGGAAAGAUCCCCGCCGAACUCGGGUGGUACCGCGGAGUAUGCUUCGCCCCGGGC
rnacentral:ncRNA from 1 species